rnacentral:rRNA from 1 species
GAUGAACGCUGGCGGCGUGCCUAAUACAUGCAAGUCGAGCGAACAGAUGAGGAGCUUGCUCCUCUGACGUUAGCGGCGGACGGGUGAGUAACACGUGGAUAACCUACCUAUAAGUCUGGGAUAACUUCGGGAAACCGGAGCUAAUACCGGAUAAUAUAUUGAACCGCAUGGUUCAAUAGUGAAAGACGGUUUUGCUGUCACUUAUAGAUGGAUCCGCGCCGCAUUAGCUAGUUGGUAAGGUAACGGCUUACCAAGGCAACGAUGCGUAGCCGACCUGAGAGGGUGAUCGGCCACACUGGAACUGAGACACGGUCCAGACUCCUACGGGAGGCAGCAGUAGGGAAUCUUCCGCAAAGGGCGAAAGCCUGACGGAGCAACGCCGCGUGAGUGAUGAGGGUCUUCGGAUCGUAAAACUCUGUUAUUAGGGAAGAACAAAUGUGUAAGUAACUAUGCACGUCUUGACGGUACCUAAUCAGAAAGCCACGGCUAACUACGUG